rnacentral:lncRNA from 1 species
AGGAGAAGAUACGGUUAAGGUGUGCUGACGUGGCUAUGGAGGGAAGCACAUAAGACUUAGAAUAUUAUAGAGUAUAAAUAGCAGUUGUAUUCAUUCAUUAGAGGUUAUCGAGAAUUACAUGAAUGUAUCUUAGCAUAUGAGCUGGGAGCUACUCAGGUGAUAGAGUAGUUGAGGAUUCAGGUGAUAGAAUCUUCCAUUGUUGUAAUUCUUGAGUUCAUCUAUCAAUAUACAGAGAGUUUCCAGGAGAUACGAUCUUUGAUCUUAUCAAUUGGUGCGGUGAGCGUGGAUUGAUAGAUGCAAGAUUCAGUAUGAGAGGAGGAAGAAGAGAUUGGUAGGUGGUAGUGAGUAAAGAAAGGAGAAGAUACGGUUAAGGUGUGCUGACGUGGCUAUGGAGGGAAGCACAUAAGACUUAGAAUAUUAUAGAGUAUAAAUAGCAGUUGUAUUCAUUCAUUAGAGGUUAUCGAGAAUUACAUGAAUGUAUCUUAGCAUAUGAGCUGGGAGCUACUCAGGUGAUAGAGUAGUUGAGGAUUCAGGUGAUAGAAUCUUCCAUUGUUGUAAUUCUUGAGUUCAUCUAUCAAUAUACAGAGAGUUUCCAGGAGAUACGAUCUUUGAUCUUAUCA